UGGGGAAUCUUGGGCAAUGGGCGAGAGCCUGACCCAGCCACGCCGCGUGAGUGAUGAAGGCCUUCGGGUUGUAAAGCUCUGUGGGGAGGGACGAAAAAGGCGAGUCGAACAGGCUCGCAAAUUGACGGUACCUCCUUAGCAAGCACCGGCUAACUCUGUGCCAGCAGCCGCGGUAAGACAGAGGGUGCAAACGUUGCUCGGAAUUACUGGGCGUAAAGCGCGUGUAGGCGGGCCGCUAAGUCGGGUGUGAAAUCCCCGAGCUCAACUCGGGAACUGCAUUCGAAACUGGCGGUCUAGAGUGAUGGAGAGGGAAGCGGAAUUCCCGGUGUAGAGGUGAAAUUCGUAGAUAUCGGGAGGAACACCAGUGGCGAAGGCGGCUUCCUGGACAUUGACUGACGCUGAGACGCGAAAGCGUGGGGAGCAAACAGGAUUAGAUACCCCCGUAGUCC
rnacentral:rRNA from 1 species